rnacentral:lncRNA from 1 species
UUUGUAGAUUUCUACCUAUAGACUCUCUAUAUAUUUAUACAUAAGUAAUUCAUUUUUUGGUGCUAAUGAAAAAGGUUUUUGGUGCUAUUGUGAUUGCAUCAUUCUUUUUUAAAUUUCUGAAAUGUUUGUUUGCGGAAUAUAGGAAAGCAAUUUAUUUUAUAUAUUAACUUUGUAUCCUAUUGACCUUAUUGAUAGUAUAGAUAUAUAGAUAGAUUGACCUUAUUGGUGGUAUUUUUAUUUUUUAACAUUUCUUUGGAAUUUUCUCC